CAGUCGCCGCGGUAAUACGUAGGGUGCGAGCGUUAAUCGGAAUUACUGGGCGUAAAGCGUGCGCAGGCGGUUGUGUAAGACAGGUGUGAAAUCCCCGGGCUUAACCUGGGAACUGCGCUUGUGACUGCACAGCUAGAGUAUGGCAGAGGGGGGUGGAAUUCCACGUGUAGCAGUGAAAUGCGCAGAGAUGUGGAGGAACACCGAUGGCGAAAGCAGCCCCCUGGGCCAAUACUGACGCUCAUGCGCGAAAGCGUGGGGAGCAAACAGGAUUAGAUACCCGGGUAGUCCCUGUCUCUUAUAA
rnacentral:rRNA from 1 species